UAGCAACACUGAGGUCACAUUUUUUGAUUCCUAAGAAAUGCAUGAACGGAUAAAAUGUAUAAAUUGAGUGCAAUGUUGGAUAAAAGUAUGUGAAUGAAUAAAUGAAGAGUUCAUUUGCAAAAACCGAUAAACGCCAUUUUUAGAAAAAAUGAACUAAGUGCUGUGCAUCCGUUUUGUCAGAAAACCCGGUUUUGUCCACUGUCAGGCAUCGCAAGUUCACGUUUCACAGCAGAAGCCUACAAGCGCCCUUGUUGUUUCCGUUGUUUCUGUACAGAAACCGAUAAGUCCGUUUUAGCGAAUCAGCGCACAGUAUUCAGGUCAGGUGACAAGGCUGCUAGUCACUUCAAAAAGACGCGCUAGCUGAGGGAAGUUUUGUCAAAGCUGACUAAAAGUGAUCGAGGAUUUAUAAUUUCGACUCCUGUAAGGGCCGUUUCAUAGUCAACGCAUCUGUACGCAUACGCGUCCCCGAGGCUACGCAUCGUUACGCUUCGGCCGCCAUUAUGCGUCGGUGCGUAGCCAAAUGUGUCGUCCUAGUUUUUUAUACGCGACGCGCCGAUGCACGCAAUACUAUGCGUUGUCGGUGGGGACGACAUUGCAAGUAUUGUACAUUAAUUCAAGUAUAUUGUGUUUACAGAAGAAGAAGGUUUGAAUACAAUGGCGGGCGAAGAGGAAAAAUUAUGCGAACUCUAUCUCUGCGUUGCCUUUGUUGCCGCCGAUGUAAAAUCAGCAACAGAAUACACUCCUCUUCAGUUGCCAUUUUGAUCUGAAUAUCACCCGACUCUACUACCCCCUGUUGCGUGAGCGGUGUAUUGCAUACACGCAUCGCCCGUGACGCUUGCGUCCACUGUUUAGACUAUGAAAGGGAGCGCGUUGCUCGCAUCGCUCGCGUUGCUUGCUCGCGUUUCUCGCGUGGACUAUGUAACGGCCCUUAGUCCUUGUACACCAUACGCGUCUUACAUGCUGAAACAUUGGUUGUUCUUUUGCGUGUGUGUGCGCGCGCACAUGUGUGUGUGUGUGUGUGUGUGUGUGUGUGUGUGUGUGUGUGUUCUUGUAUAUAUGGUUUACGAGGACAAAAUGUCAGGUUACUUACCAGCAUUAUCAGGACACUUAGGUUUAUGAGGACAUAUCAGUGUCCUCAUAAACUUAAGGUCAUAUAUGUUAUUUUCUGGCAUAAAUUAAUGCCCGUAUGAAGUUUUUAAAAUUUCGAAAAAAUGACCUUACAAACCAUGAUGUGUUUGUGUAGGAAUACAACCAUGACCUCACAUACCAUGAUGCUGAAAUCUGAGGGGAUGUUUUGUUUGUUUUUUAAUGAUUCUAAAAGCUUGACUAAACCAUAGGAAUAUGAGGAAAAUAUUUUAGUUUCUGAUGGAAGAACAAUGCACAAAACUUAUUAAAGUUUCAUUUGGCAUGGUUCAUUGCGUUCUCACAAAUCAAUUGACUCAAAGCACAACUACAGAAUGUGCUUACUGUUACAGUACAGAAGGGUCGGAGACAACAGGAAACAGGUAAGUGAUGUUUAUUGAACAACCAGUGAGACAAAAGGUGAGUAAAUGGUAGAAUUGCAGGUUGACUGAUGGUUACUUGAGUGAUAAUACUGUCCUUGUAUGUUGCAGGGGUGAAGAUCGUGGAUGGCAGCAGAGUGACGUUGAAUACUGAACAGAGACAGGAACACAGGAGGAGACGAAGGAGUCGGUAUACUGGAGUCCUUAAGGUAAGCAUAGAGGUCAGUCUAUGUACAAACAAGACCAGACAAUGACUGAGUGUGAUUUAGUGUCUUUUAUAGUGCUGUGGUGAUUGCGGAGAUGACUAGCAAGUGCGGGUGAUGGCAGAGUGGUGGAGUGAGUGCAGGUGUGAACCAGGGAGGAUGCUGGGAACUGGAGUCCGGGAAUGACUGGAACUGUGAUACUUACAAAAUCUUUAUUAUUAAAAAAUUGUUAAAGGUUGAUUUUGACAUCACUUUUGGCCACGACUGCACACCUACUUUUCCUUCCUGUGUACAAUCUGUAUCUUAUUUCCCAAAUGGAUUUCUCAACAGAUUUCCCAAAAUCCUUUUUAGUGGAAUCACAUUCCUAAACAAUCAUACUCCAAACAAUAUCCCUAACCAUAUCCAUAAUCAUAACCCAUAAAAUUUCAACAAAAGUUUGGUUUAAGCCCCUAACCUAACUCUUAAAGGGAUAGUUCACCCAAAAAUGGAAAUUAUCCUGAUUUACUCACCCUCAAGCCAUCCUUCCAAAAAA